GGUAAGGCCUUUCAAGGGUGCGCUUUUAAACGGGUGCUUCUUGUGGUUUCUUGCUUAGGAAAGUCCGCCCACCACUAAAACGAGUGACCUCAGUGAAAUGAGGCGCGGGAGAUCCGCGGGCAUACGGCUCAGAAACGAUACCGCCCAUCAUGAGAAAUGAGAGUUUGGAAGUGCAUACUUCCAACGCGAGUGAACUUGCUUCACUUCGUGUCCGAAGCCAUCAGGCAACUGAAGGCGAGCUAACGACUCGAUCGGCGAAUGAUAGGAGGGGUUUAAACGGCGAGUCCUCACAGGUGCAAGCCUGAUUUACAGGCGCUUAGUAGAAUGACAGGCACGACCCGCUGAUGAGCAAGUCUCGUCAGGGUCGACAUAAGGCGGCUUAUAGCUGGCCAACC
rnacentral:RNase_P_RNA from 1 species